rnacentral:lncRNA from 1 species
CACACUUGUACCAGAAUAGGCACACACACUUCAAGAUGAGGGGGGUGUUGCCAGGGAACUCUUCGAGCAGUCACUGCAUUUCCUUAGAGAUUGCCCGGAGCCUUCUAGAAAUCUAUAGGAAAGAAGGAGAGAGCUUUUAGUACCCAUUGAUUUCGCUUUCUACUAAUGCUGAUGACUCUUGAGGGGAAUUCGGGCCUGCCAGUGUAUGUGCUGGCCAAAGGAAUUGCUUUACUAAAAUGUUAAUUAAACAUGAGAUGAGUUUGCCAGAGCCAACUGGCUGCUUUCGCUGCAACAUAGAUCCAUCUGGCAUGGUUUAUCACUUGGUGUUAGCCUUCCACCCUGCUUUAGGAAGUGGGCUGAGACUCUUGUCUAAACUUACCAAAUUAACUCGGGUGACAGUCUCUCGGAAUAUAGCCUCAGCACUGCAGCGUUGAAGAUGUACCCCAUGCCAAAUUGGAGUAUUUAUGAGCUGUGUCCUGAACAACAGCACAGAUAGGCAUGUGCUUCCCCGUGUGGAGAAAAACGAAGCAAAGAGGAUCCCGUAGCUUUGUGUAUGUUCUGAGGAAUGUGACUCAAAUCUACUUCACCCCUAGAACCUCUUUGCCAGACUGUCUUCCCUCUAGAGUUAUUCCCUGUCUUCCUGUUCCCGACUGCUUCCUUCCAGGCGGCAGAAGAAGACAACGGAUCACACCAUGGUGGACCUGAAAGACCUAAAAGGCUACAGUCGGGUUGGAAAGCCUAUCCUAUGUCCUUCCCACCCUGCCGAGGAGCUGAGGCUGUUCUGUGAGCUCUGUGACCGGCCGGUGUGUCGGGACUGUGUAGUUGGGGAGCACCGAGAGCACCCCUACGACUUCACCAGCAACGUCAUCCACAAGCAUGGAGAUUCCGUGCGGGAGCUGCUUCGAGACA